rnacentral:rRNA from 1 species
GAUGAACGCUGGCGGCGUGCUUAACACAUGCAAGUCGAACGGACGAGGCGGAGCUUGCUCUGCCGAGUUAGUGGCGGACGGGUGAGUAACGCGUGAGCAACCUGCCUUUCAGAGGGGGACAACGUUGGGAAACCGGCGCUAAUACCGCAUAAUAUGCUUUUGCCGCAUGACAGAAGUAUCAAAGGAGCAAUCCGCUGAAAGAUGGGCUCGCGUCUGAUUAGAUAGUUGGUGAGGUAACGGCCCACCAAGUCGACGAUCAGUAGCCGGACUGAGAGGUUGAACGGCCACAUUGGAACUGAGAUACGGUCCAGACUCC